AGAUUGUCGCCGCCGACGCAAGCUCGAUCACCAUGCGCCCUUCUCCGCUACCGACCAUCGCCGGCUGCGCCACGUCGCCCCAGUCGUGAGUAUCUCCAUCAACUGCGGCGCCCGUCGGUUCGUGCAAACCUCUGAUCCGUUCCUUCCUUUGGUGAACAAGGAAGAGGAGCACGAUAACGAGAGGAAGACAGAAGCUAAGCAGAGAAGCAAGAGAGCAUCGGAGACAAAGAAGAAGACCAAGAGAGCGGAAGCAAAGAAGCUGUCACCCGAUGCUUAUGGAUUCAUCAUCUCUUCUUCCAUUGAUAGCGAGAACCAACUCGAUCUCUUAAGCAGUGAUGAAGAAGAGGAAGAAUCGGCGACUCUGCUAUCAUCCAAUAGCUUCUCCUCCGACUCCUCCGA
rnacentral:lncRNA from 1 species